GUUAGGGAAUUAAGACAGGCCUUUAAAGUAAUGGUUACGUAAUGUCAACACGUAUUACAGUGUUAAACUUUUUGCCCUCUUUUUACAGGCCUCUAGGACAACUAUAUGGUGGUGUAAGGCUACAACGCACAGCUUUCUGUUAAAUGUUCCUUAAUUAUAAUGUCUUUUACAUUGUUGGGAAAAUCCAAACACAGAAAAAUUUGUGUUUUUGCUAAAGGCUGUAGUUCCCC